rnacentral:rRNA from 1 species
UGUCCUUUUGAUUAUAAUUUAAGGUUUAAUCUGCCCACUGAGGAUUUAAAUGGCCGCAGUAUUUUGACUGUGCAAAGGUAGCAUAAUAAUUAGUUUCUUAAUUAGAAGCUGGAAUGAAAGAUUGAAUGAGAAAAUAACUGUCUCAAAUUAAUUUAAUUAGAAUUUUAUUUUUAAGUUAAAAAGCUUAAAUAAUAUUAAAAGACGAGAAGACCCUAUAGAGUUUUAUUUAAUUUUUUUUAUUAAAAAAAAUUGUUUUUAGUUUUUUAAUAAUUAAAUUGAAUUUUGUUGGGGUGACAAAAAAAUUAAAUAAACUUUUUUUAUAUAAAAACAUUAAUAUAUGAUUAAUUGAUCCAAAAUUUUUGAUUAAAAGAUAAAAUUACCUUAGGGAUAACAGCGUAAUUUUUUUUGAGAGUUCUUAUCGAAAAAAAAGAUUGCGACCUCGAUGUUGGAUUAAAGUUUAAUUUUGGUGUAGAAGCUAAAAAUUUAGGUCUGUUCGACCUUUAAAACUUU